AACGAACGCUGGCGGCAUGCCUAACACAUGCAAGUCGAACGAGACCUUCGGGUCUAGGGGCGCACGGGUGCGUAACGCGUGGGAACCUGCCCUUAGGUUCGGAAUAACUCCCCGAAAGGGGUGCUAAUACCGGAUAAUGUCUUCGGACCAAAGAUUUAUCGCCUUUGGAUGGGCCCGCGUUGGAUUAGCUGGUUGGUAGGGUAAAAGCCUACCAAGGCGACGAUCCAUAGCUGGUCUGAGAGGAUGAUCAGCCACACUGGGACUGAGACACGGCCCAGACUCCUACGGGAGGCAGCAGUGGGGAAUAUUGGACAAUGGGCGAAAGCCUGAUCCAGCAAUGCCGCGUGAGUGAUGAAGGCCUUAGGGUUGUAAAGCUCUUUUACCCGGGAUGAUAAUGACAGUACCGGGAGAAUAAGCUCCGGCUAACUCCGUG
rnacentral:rRNA from 1 species